UGCCGGAUCGUCUAACGGUAGGACAGCGGUUUCUGGUACCGUAAAUCGGGGUUCGAUUCCCUGCCCGGCAGCAA
rnacentral:tRNA from 1 species